GUGAGAGAGAGAGAACUGUGAGAGGGUGUAAUGGCGACCACACCACACCGAACCCUGUGCGAUCGCCCGAGCCAUAUAGACUGCGUGAUUCCCCCCUUCUGGAUGUUCUGAGAGCUAAGUGAAUGACAAGAAAAACUGAUUACUCAGACAUCAUUAAAGCUACUGGGUGGCAAGCCGGUAACAGAAGAUCCGUCUCUCCUCAUUCUUCCUGUAUCCUAACCGAUACCUCAUCCUGUGUUUUCAGAGCCUCUGAUUGUCUCAUAGACACAACGAUCACCUACAGAGUUCAAACUGCAGCAGAUGUAAUAAUUACAGUCUGGAUGCAAAGAGCAUCAGAAUAUUUUAAAGUAGAUGAAAAACUAACCAUGAAGAAGAGAGGAGUACACUUGCUGCUGAUGUUCAUCCUGAUUCACCGUCUGCUCAUUAGCAGGACCUUUAUUAAAAAUGGAAAGAAGACAUUUGCUUUCACACGGACCUCAUGAUGCAUUUGUGUAUCUGAAUGAAUGAAGAGUUUGUAGUAAGUAAAGGAAAAGUUCUCACUGUUGGUCGUUCUGCAGCGAUACAACAAGAGCAGGAGAAUAAUGAGGAGAGAGACUCCACAAACCAGUCCAACAAUCAGCCACACAGAGCUGUCAGCUGCUGACACAGUUAGUGUAACAACAAUUAUUAAUAAACUGUAAUUAUAUUGGAUAUUUUCCUUCUGAGUCAUCAAAAUCAUUUCCAAAUAUUCAUCAAAUCUUUGAUCCUGCUCACCUUUAACUAACAUCCAGCUCUGUGGUGACUCUCUUCCUGAGUAUUCACACUUGUAGAAACCUUCAUCAGACUUUGACACUGCAGAGAUCUUCAGCUCCUCUCGGGUAUCACUUUGAAUAAGUUUGUCAUUGUGGUAGAAAAACACAUUGGAAAGUAUUUUUUGUGUCCUCAAACUGCAGCUCAGACUAACAGAAGCUCCUUCAGUCACAGGAUGAACAGGACUCACCAGGAUAGGAGCAUCAGGAUCAUCUGUGACACAAUCAAACACAAUUGUUUCAGUCAGAUCAGCUGGUGCAGACUUUUAGAAAAAGCUGACACACAAUAAUAAGAACAGAUUGAACAAAUGCUUUUCAUCAUGAAUAUCUAAUAUCUGAUCUUGAAUAUUUUUUUCUUGCUUUUAAAUAAUGUUUUUACCUGA